CAAGUCGAACGAGGGCCCCUCUUCGGAGGGUCACCCUAGUGGCGGACGGGUGAGUAACGCGUGGGAACCCGCCCUUGGGUACGGAAUAACCUCGGGAAACCGUGGCUAAUACCGUAUACGCCCUAAGGGGGAAAGAUUUAUUGCCCAAGGAUGGGCCCGCGUCGGAUUAGGUUGUUGGUGGGGUAAUGGCCUACCAAGCCGACGAUCCGUAGCUGGUCUGAGAGGAUGAUCAGCCACACUGGGACUGAGACACGGCCCAG
rnacentral:rRNA from 1 species